CGGGCAUUAACCUAUUUUCAACGUGUCCACUUGUGAAUGCUCGUGGCUGAAGCCUUGACCACACAGUAACGCGGAUCCACUUCUCCUUGAGAUAUUCAGUUAAGAGUUAUCGGGCACGAGCUGGAACUUGUAGUAUCUUCGAGGCCUAUGAUCCACAAUGCUUGAACUCGUGAAGUGUAGCCGCUAAGAUGGAGCUACCGGAGAGGGAAAUUUUUUACUGGUAUAGUGUUCAAACAUUGUUGUAUACAUAGACGAGAAUGUUAAUUGCUAAUUGACUUACUAACUUUGCUGGGUAAACAUUUGUUGAG
rnacentral:misc_RNA from 1 species